GCCAGGCAUGGUGGUGCACGCCUGUAAUCCCAGGGGCUUGGGAGGCUGAGAAAGGAGGAUCACAAGUUCAAAGCCAGCCUCAGCAACUUGGUGAGGCGCUAAGCAACUCAGUGAGAUCCUGUCUCUA
rnacentral:sRNA from 1 species